UCGAGAUUUACACACGUCUCUACGAGAUCUUUGGCUUCCUUCCCUCUCUCAUAGCCAUGGCUGCUUUCACUUGUACUUCUCGCCCUCCAGUUUCUCUCCGUUCGAAUGGGAUCUUUACCAUCGGCUUCACACUCUUUGCUCGGCGGAUGUUCACCUUGUAUCCGUCUUUCUCACUCUCCGGCUUCGUUGACCUCGAUUCAUCCUAGGUGGCUAUCUGUUCAAAGCUUUUUUGCUUAUCGGUGAUUCUGGUCUGGGUUUAUCAUCUUUCGUACUCUCUCUCUCUCUUUAACAUUGAACACAGACACACACAAAAAUAACAAAUUAUGGGUCCUUGGAGUUCGAUAUUAGUUGUUCAAAGUCGUUAUGCUUAGUUCUAACUUUACUAUAUGUAUCAUUGUUGUGUCUUUGUGUGUGUUAAUAUCCUGAUAUCUCCACUUUUAAUUGAUUUAUGUUUUAUUUUAUCAUUCACGCAGAAAUUGCUAAAAAUUAAGACCCGUGUUCUUAAGGAUAUUAAAGAAGAUGUUUCGAGGAAGAAGUUUCAAUGGAAGAAGAAGAAGAAGCUGUAGAUGUUUUUUUUGUAACCAAAAAGCCUAAUGGGCUCUAUGAAACCACAAAACAAUUCAAGACAAUAAGUCCAAUUGGAUGUGUAAUUUUUUAUGUAUAUAAUUAUUUUUGUUAACUUUUACUUUUUUUUUUU